CGGAGCGUAGCAAUACGCUUAGUGGCGGACGGGUGAGUAACGCGUGAGCAAUCUGCCUUGUACAACGGGAUAACACAGAGAAAUUUGUGCUAAUACGGUAUAAGACCACAGUGGGGCAUCCCACAGGGGUAAAAGAAUUUCGGUACAAGAGGAGCUCGCGUCCCAUUAGCUAGUUGGCGGGGUAACGGCCCACCAAGGCGACGAUGGGUAGCCGAUCUGAGAGGAUGAACGGCCACACUGGAACUGAGACACGGUCCAGACUCCUACUGGAGGCAGCAGUGGGGAAUAUUGGGCAAUGGAGGCAACUCUGA
rnacentral:rRNA from 2 species